UCAAAGCAUUGGACCUUAAGACCUGACAGA
rnacentral:piRNA from 1 species